GAGGGUAUAGCUGAGUGGUAGAGAGUGUGCUUAGCAUGCACAAGAUCCUGGGUUCAAUCCCCAGAACUUCCA
rnacentral:tRNA from 1 species